AACUCGACGGUCGCGUCUGUCACACUCACGCGUUUCCUUCUCUUCACAAGCAUUUGAAAUGAACCUCUGUGUGUCAGAGGGGCAGCUAUGCUAACAGACCCAACAACAAUAGAACAAAGUAGCCCAGAACUGGGGAUAGUGGCGAGAGAGAGACAAAGAGGGAGAGAGUGAGACGUGGAGAUAUGAAGAGAGAGAGAGAGAGAGAGAACCCCUCUGUCUAAAGCUAUUCCCUCCCCAUCCCGCGGCACCAGCUUGCCUUUCGUUAGUUAGUAAAAGCGCGUCAGUGCUUGCCGCAGGUACACAGACGCCCUAGAUUAUGAGACGCCAUCGACCCCAGUAUCUAACACCAACUACACAGUCCUGCUCUGGAGAAAAUGCAGGGAAAUACAUGGAGGAUGCUAUUCAGGAUCUAUCUAACAAUGUGAGAGACACCUGGGCUAAACCAGUUUACAGCGACAGUGGCAUUUUGACCGUCGGAUCACUUGCUCUCUCCUCAGCGUAAGAAAACCAAGAUGGAGCCGCUGGCCUAAGCCUGGACAAGGAGGAUGAUGGAGAAGCCACGGGAGAUGGACACAUCUUUUCAUGCGCCGGAGAAAAGUGGCCAAAAAUGGUUUCCUACUGAAUGUGCCAACAAAAUAUUGUCACCUUGUGGUGAAAAUGAAGACUGUCUAGCCAG